rnacentral:rRNA from 1 species
GACGAACGCUGGCGGCGUGCCUAAUACAUGCAAGUCGAGCGAAGUUUUCUGGUGCUUGCACUAGAAAAACUUAGCGGCGAACGAGUGAGUAACACGUAAAGAACCUGCCUCAUAGACUGGGACAACUAUUGGAAACGAUAGCUAAUACCGGAUAACAGCAUUAACUGCAUGGUUGAUGUUUAAAAGUUGGUUUUGCUAACACUAUGAGAUGGCUUUGCGGUGCAUUAGCUAGUUGGUGGGGUAAAGGCCUACCAAGGCGACGAUGCAUAGCCGACCUGAGAGGGUGAUCGGCCACACUGGGACUGAGACACGGCCCAGACUCCUACGGGAGGCAGCAGUAGGGAAUCUUCCGCAAUGGGCGAAAGCCUGACGGAGCAACGCCGCGUGAGUGAAGAAGGAUUUCGGUUCGUAAAGCUCUGUUGUUAGGGAAGAAUGAUUGUGUAGUAACUAUACACAGUAGAGACGGUACCUAACCAGAAAGCCACGGCUAACUACGUG